rnacentral:rRNA from 1 species
GACGUAGGGCGCGAGCGUUGUCCGGAUUUAUUGGGCGUAAAGAGCUCGUAGGCGGCUCGUUGCGUCGGCUGUGAAAACCCGCAGCUCAACUGUGGGCUUGCAGCUGAUACGGGCGGGCUGGGAUUCGGUAGGGGAGACUGGAAUUCCUGGUGUAGCGGUGAAAUGCGUAGAUAUUAGGAGGAACACCUGCGGUGUAGACAGCUUUCUGGACCACUUCUGACGCUGAGACACGAAAGCGUGGGUAGCAAACAGG